CUAUCAGAAAACAACUCCUUCAGAUAAAACUAUAAGAAAAUAAUGGCAUCCCACAUCAAUCACCUUCAUUUUACCUUCACAAUUAUGUGUCUUGCUUUUGUUGUGAUUGCAGCAAAAGCUGCUGUGAUAAAUCCAGGACCUUGCUUUUUUUUAGGAGCAUGUCCAGAUGAUUCAGAAAAAUGCCACCAAUUUUGUAAAACGUCAAAAGGCAUCGAUAAAGGAAAGUGUCACAAAGACACGAACGCAUGUUGUUGCAAUAACAUUGGAUAGAUUUAUGUUUGAUCAUUACAAUUUUUCAAUAUGUUUGAACAAAUAUAUCUACAAACAAGUCUUUAAGAAUUUUAUUGAAUAAGUUGGAAAAUUGUAAUUUCAAAUAAAAAAUAUAUUGCUAUAAGUGCAGUUUUGCUCUAAUUUUAAA